ACCUACGGGAGGCAGCAGUGGGGAAUAUUGGGCAAUGGAGGAAACUCUUACCCAGCAAUGCCGCGUGAAUGAAGAAGGUCUUCGGAUUGUAAAGUUCUUUAAUUGGGGACGAAAAAAAUGACGGUACCCAAGGAAUAAGCCCCGGCUAACUGCGUGCCAGCAGCCGCGGUAAUACGUAGGUGGCGAGCGUUGUCCGGAUUUACUGGGCGUAAAGGGAGCGUAGGCGGACUUUUAAGUGAGAUGUGAAAUACUCGGGCUCAACUUGAGUGCUGCAUUUCAAACUGGAAGUCU
rnacentral:rRNA from 1 species